rnacentral:rRNA from 1 species
CCUACGGGGGGCUGUAGUGGGGAAUAUUGGGCAAUGGGCGCAAGCCUGACCCAGCAACGCCGCGUGAAGGAAGAAGGCUUUCGGGUUGUAAACUUCUUUUCUGAGGGACGAAGAAAGUGACGGUACCUCAGGAAUAAGCCACGGCUAACUACGUGCCAGCAGCCGCGGUAAUACGGAGGGGGCAAGCGUUAUCCGGAUUUAUGUGGUGUAAAGGGCGUGUGGGCGGGAACGCAAGUCAGAUGUGAAAACUCCGGGCUCAACCCUGGGCCUGCAUUUGAAACUGUUUUUCUUGAGUGCUGGAGAGGCAAUCGGAAUUCCGUGUGUAGCGGUGAAAUGCGUAGAUAUACGGAGGAACACCAGUGGCGAAGGCGGAUUGCUGGACAGUAACUGACGCUGAGGCGCGAAAGCGUGGGGAGCAAACAGGAUUAGAUACCCGAGUAGUC